rnacentral:rRNA from 1 species
UACGAAGGGGGCUAGCGUUGCUCGGAAUUACUGGGCGUAAAGGGUGCGUAGGCGGUCCGCUAAGUUGGAUGUGAAAACUCUGGGCUUAACCCAGAGCCUGCAUUCAAAACUGACGGGCUAGAGUUCUGGAGGGGGUAGCGGAAUUCCUGGUGUAGCGGUGAAAUGCGUAGAUAUCAGGAGGAACACCGGUGGCGAAGGCGGCUACCUGGACAGAAACUGACGCUGAGGCACGAAAGCUAGGGGAGCAAACAGG